UUCUCGAAGCCUAGAGUCUUCAGGAAUGAACUUUGGCUGUUUAAGUCGUUCCCUUACAUCAUUUGGUAACAAUUUCAAUGGACUGUAAUUUGCAUAAAUUGAGGAAAUAGAAAUAUGCAAAAGUUUGUGAUACAAGUUAGAUAAUUCGGGGUACGCCCUCAACAAAAAUGGAUAACGACCCAAGAUUAAUAGAGAUGAAGAUAAAUCCCCGAUGGACAAUAAAGAUUUUAGUAGACCCAGCUUCUGUGAAGGUUUGGCUUUUUUUAUUUCAGGAACAGCUUCAGCUUUCUGGCCAUCCAUGGUUUCUCCGUCUUCAAUUUCAUCGUCGGGCAAUGGGGCCGCCAUUGUUAAAGCAUUUCCUUUAGCCUUAAAAGUCUGUUCAUCUAAUUUAUCCUUAUAUUUACCCAACUCUUUACCAAGCUCUUCAUCUGAUGGAGAAAGAUGAGCCCAUAUGUU